rfam:Penicillium vulpinum strain IBT 29486 PENVTL_contig033, whole genome shotgun sequence.
GGGCGGCUGGCCUAAUGGUAAGGCGUCUGAUUUCGGCUCGAGUUUCACUCAUCGCUGCUUCUCAGAAGACUGCAGGUUCGAUCCCUGCGUCGCUCA